UCUAACGCAUCAAAACAUCUCAACAUUCCAAACACGAGCCAUUCAACAAGAAUGCUUCAGAAGACCUCAUCAACUUUCGAUCCUCGCAUCCAAAAUUCGUUCUCACAUCUCGAAGGAGCUUCAAGAAACAACUUCAAAUUUCAUGCUAAAACUCAAAUUAAACACUCAUCCCUCAACUUUAUCUCAGUUUAGCGCGCACAUAAACAAGGAUGACGGAAUCAAUUUUGAAGCGAGCAAUACAACAGACUAUGGAUUAUGAUGAAAUUUAAUCGAAGAUUGAAGCAAAAGGAAAAAGGAAACUCGCCGGAAUCUUGAUGCGGUGGCAAAAACAGGUCAUGGUUCAUUUUUAUAGGGCCAUGUUCUGUUGAAGAGAUGCAAUGUAAUACUUGGUCUGAAUUAGGGUAAUGGUUUGGUGUGUGCUAUUAUGCAGAGUGAAGUGCAGGUCAUGCUUGUGUUGUGUUAAUAAGGGUGUUGAAUUUGGCAGGUGUUUCAAUUAUGUGGUGCAGUUGACUUGGGCAUUGUUAGGUUUAGACUAUAGGUUGUGUUAUGUUGUAUUUUAGGGAAUAGAAAUGUAAUGGAACAAUUAAGGCAUUUGAUUUUGUAUGGAAUGUGAUGAAUUGACUAUGGCAUUUUGAAUUGAAUUUCAAUGGAAAGUGUUCAUUGUAUGUUGUAUGGAAAUGCUAAUCAUAAAUGAAAGUUUGAAUGGAAAGUUAUUUAUGGCAA